rnacentral:rRNA from 1 species
GGAAUAUUGGGCAAUGGAGGAAACUCUGACCCAGCAACGCCGCGUGAAGGAAGAAGGUUUUCGGAUUGUAAACUUCUGAUCUGUGGGAAGAAGAAAGUGACGGUACCACAGGAGAAAGCCACGGCUAACUACGUGCCAGCAGCCGCGGUAAUACGUAGGUGGCGAGCGUUGUCCGGAAUAACUGGGCGUAAAGGGAGCGUAGGUGGCUAUUUAAGUUAAAUGUGAAAGCCCAGGGCCCAACUCUGGAAUUGCAUUUAAUACUGGGUAGCUAGAGUACUGGAGGGGUAAACGGAAUUUCUAGUGUAGCGGUGGAAUGCGUAGAUAUUAGGAAGAACACCGGAGGCGAAGGCGGUUUACUGGACAGCAACUGACACUGAGGCUCGAAAGCGUGGGGAGCAAACA